rnacentral:tmRNA from 1 species
GGGGAUGAAACGGUUUCGACAGGGAAGUGAGAGGUUGUAAACUGCGAGCCGAGUUGUUCUAACUCGUAAAACUGGAACAAAACAUUAAUUGCCGAAAAAGUACCUGCUUUCGGUCGCUCCUUUAACGCCCUGCCCCUCGCGGCAUAAGCGUUUUAGCAGCACCCCUGGCUCCACAACGCGAGUCACGCUGACGCCAACAUUUUUCCCCGAGAGUGUAGCGCCGGCGUCAUAAAAAUCGGGGUGCGUUGAGGUGAUGUCGAUAAGCCUCAACCAAGACCUAUCGGCUGGUUUGGGUGGCCUUUGGUGACUAACAAAGCCCAAACGACAAUCUGAAGUUCACCUACGCUCGUAGACGUUUACCGCCAGCUUCUUUGGACGCCGGUUCGACUCCGGCCAUCUCCACCU